rnacentral:rRNA from 1 species
UACGGAGGGUGCGAGCGUUGUCCGGAAUCACUGGGCGUAAAGGGCGCGUAGGCGGCCUGAUAAGUAGGGGGUGAAAUCCUGCGGCUUAACCGCAGGGCUGCCUUCUAAACUGUCAGGCUAGAGCACGGUAGAGGCAGAUGGAAUUCCCGGUGUAGCGGUGGAAUGCGUAGAGAUCGGGAAGAACAUCAGUGGCGAAGGCGGUCUGCUGGGCCGUUGCUGACGCUGAGGUGCGAAAGCGUGGGGAGCAAACAGG